rnacentral:rRNA from 1 species
UGGGGAAUUUUGGGACAAUGGGGGGAAACCCUGAUCCAGCCAUCCCGCGUGUGCGAUGAAGGCCUUCGGGUUGUAAGCACUUUUGGCAGGAAAGAAACGUCGCGGGUUAAUACCCCGCGAAACUGACGGUACCUGCAGAAUAAGCACCGGCUAACUACGUGCCAGCAGCCGCGGUAAUACGUAGGGUGCAAGCGUUAAUCGGAAUUACUGGGCGUAAAGCGUGCGCAGGCGGUUCGGAAAGAAAGAUGUGAAAUCCCAGAGCUUAACUUUGGAACUGCAUUUUUAACUACCGGGCUAGAGUGUGUCAGAGGGAGGUGGAAUUCCGCGUGUAGCAGUGAAAUGCGUAGAUAUGCGGAGGAACACCGAUGGCGAAGGCAGCCUCCUGGGAUAACACUGACGCUCAUGCACGAAAGCGUGGGGAGCAAACAGGAUUAGAUACCCUGGUAGUCCACGCCCUAAACGAUGUCAACUAGCUGUUGGGGCCUUCGGGCCUUGGUAGCGCAGCUAACGCGUGAAGUUGACCGCCUAGGGAGUACGGUC